rnacentral:rRNA from 1 species
AUUGAGCGCUGGCGGCAUGCUUUACACAUGCAAGUCGAACGGUAACAGGCCGCAAGGUGCUGACGAGUGGCGAACGGGUGAGUAAUGCAUCGGAACGUGCCCAGUCGUGGGGGAUAACGCAGCGAAAGCUGUGCUAAUACCGCAUACGAUCUAUGGAUGAAAGCGGGGGACCGUAAGGCCUCGCGCGAUUGGAGCGGCCGAUGUCAGAUUAGGUAGUUGGUGGGGUAAAGGCUCACCAAGCCAACGAUCUGUAGCUGGUCUGAGAGGACGACCAGCGACACUGGGACUGAGACACGGCCCAGACUCCUACGGGAGGCAGCAGUGGGGAAUUUUGGACAAUGGGCGCAAGCCUGAUCCAGCAAUGCCGCGUGCAGGAAGAAGGCCUUCGGGUUGUAAACUGCUUUUGUACGGAACGAAAAGGUUUGGGUUAAUACCCUGGGCCGAUGACGGUACCGUAAGAAUAAGCACCGGCUAACUACGUGCCAGCCGCCGCGGUAA